AUGAAGUUUUGCAAAAGGAGCCUCUGUCCUGGCAACAGUGUAGACUCUCUUGGCUGCCAAAUGCUGAGUCUGCCAUCACUUGAAGUUCUGAGGAGCCUUUGCACCAGCGUCAUAGAUAAUGCAAAAGGAAUGUCACAGUUUUCUACUUUAGUGUGGAGAAAGGAUCAAGACUUCUUGAAUACAGGUUACAUGUGGCAGCAAGCAGCUGGAGCUGCCAUCAAAUGACAAGUCUCUGACUCUGCUUCUUUGGAAUCCUAAGCAGGAGCAAUGAGGUCUGCCCAUGAGCUAGGACUUUUCACUUCUCAUCCAAGACCCUUCUCAUGCCAGGCCAGGGCUUGUCACUUCUGUAAAGCCUGGGGGAGACUGAAGAACUUUGGGAACUGUUGAAUAAUUUCAGAGUGAAAUUCUUACAGGUGAAAUCAAACUAAAAAUAUUUCUUUCCUUAAAAGCAUGCUUUCAAAUAUCAUAGUACUUUCAGUACAAUUUACUCUUUUAUAACCGUUUUAAAAGCUAUAGAUAGCUCCUGAUGACUUCUGGCAUCAGUGUGUUCUAAGUGCAUGAUUUCAGAAUAUGGCUUAAUAUUGGCAUAUUUUGCUCUAACUGGCAGUCAUCCUUUUUAAUAUUUUUUUUUUCACAUUUGAUAGUAAUCCAGUUUCCAACUUCUUGCCUGUACUGCUGUAACCUGGAUGAGACCUUCAUGGACAGAGGUAGUGAUACUGCUCUGUCUAAAUCAGUGUAUACCCUGACUGAUGUUUUCACAGGAGUCAGACCAUCUAAAAGGAAGAGCAUUUUCCAGUUGGUGUUUAUUUACAAUUUCAUAGUUGUCUUCAUCUGUAUGUCUGACACAUUUACAGAGUAGCUUUGAUUAUGACAGUUCCACAUUCAGAUUGUAUGUAUGCAACUGGAAAUUUCUGAAGUGCAAGUUGUCAGAUUCUGAAAUGCUGUAAAUUCAUCAUGUGGCCAUACAGACUUUGCACUAAAAAAAGGUUAAGGUUGUUCAGCAAAAAUCUGUGCCAUUCUUGCAACUAUCUGGGGCAAAAAUAUUUUUUGCAUUACCUUUUUUACUAAAAGUAAUCUUAGUUCUUUUCUCUUUGGGCUCUUUAUGCUACAAAAGGAUUUUGCUUAUCAUCUCUUAGAGUCUGAUUUAUUGCAUUUUAAAUUAAAAUUAACAGAUUGUAUUUUGACAGUUUCUGGAUAUUUAUGCUUUCCAAUCUGGUGAAUCCAG
rnacentral:lncRNA from 1 species